rnacentral:rRNA from 1 species
CCUACGGGAGGCAGCAGUGGGGAAUAUUGGACAAUGGGGGCAACCCUGAUCCAGCCAUGCCGCGUGUGUGAAGAAGGCCCUCGGGUUGUAAAGCACUUUCAGUGAGGAAGAACGCCUGGUGGUUAAUACCCAUCAGGAAAGACAUCACUCACAGAAGAAGCACCGGCUAACUCCGUGCCAGCAGCCGCGGUAAUACGGAGGGUGCGAGCGUUAAUCGGAAUUACUGGGCGUAAAGCGCGCGUAGGUGGCUUGAUAAGCCGGUUGUGAAAGCCCCGGGCUCAACCUGUGAACGGCAUCCGGAACUGUCAAGCUAGAGUGCAGGAGAGGAAGGUAGAAUUCCCGGUGUAGCGGUGAAAUGCGUAGAGAUCGGGAGGAAUACCAGUGGCGAAGGCGGCCUUCUGGACUGACACUGACACUGAGGUGCGAAAGCGUGGGUAGCAAACAGGAUUAGAUACCCUUGUAGUC